UACGUAUGGGGCAAGCGUUGUCCGGAAUCAUUGGGCGUAAAGAGCGUGUAGGCGGCUCGGUAAGUCCGCUGUGAAAGUCCAGGGCUCAACCCUGGAAUGCCGGUGGAAACUGUCGAGCUAGAGUCCGGAAGAGGCGAGUGGAAUUCCUGGUGUAGCGGUGAAAUGCGCAGAUAUCAGGAGGAACACCAAUGGCGAAGGCGGCUCUCUGGGACGGUACUGACGCUGAGACGCGAAAGCGUGGGGAGCGAACAGG
rnacentral:rRNA from 1 species